CGUGUAGGCGGCUAGAUAAGUCAGAUGUGAAAUCCCUGGGCUUAACCCAGGAAGUGCAUUUGAAACUGUUUGGCUUGAGUAGGGGAGAGGAAAGUGGAAUUCCUGGUGUAGAGGUGAAAUUCGUAGAUAUCAGGAGGAACACCGGUGGCGAAGGCGACUUUCUGGCCCUAUACUGACGCUGAGACGCGAAAGCGUGGGUAGCAAACA
rnacentral:rRNA from 1 species